rnacentral:misc_RNA from 1 species
GAUGAAGAACGCAGCGAAAUGCGAUAAGUAAUGCGAAUUGCAGAAUUCCAGUGAGUCAUCGAAUCUUUGAACGCACAUUGCGCCCUUUGGUAUUCCGAAGGGCAUGCCUGUUCGAGCGUCAUUAUCACCCCUCAAGCCCUCGGCUUGGUGUUGGACGGUUUGGUGGAGGCCCCCUCGGGGGCUCCUGCCCCUCCCAAAGACAAUGACGGCGGCCUCGUUGGACCCCCGGUACACUGAGUUCUUCACGGGACACGUAUCGGACACAUGGGUUUACGGGACACGGUCUGCCUCCCCUCAGGGAGAAUCUUUCUAAGGUUGACCUCGGAUCAGGUAGGGAUACCCGCUGAACUUAAGCAUAUCAAUAAGCGUAGG